rnacentral:lncRNA from 1 species
UAACCUUUUUCCACUUUAUGGUUUGUACUUGAAGAGAAAUUUAUUCUCAGCAGAGGACCCCCUUGGUCCCCCACCUGAGGGAACAAACCAAGUUCAUUUAUGACAACUACCAAAAGCGAAGCGUUCCUUCAACCCCAGAUUACAGAUUUAGUAUUUGCAAUGCCAACAGCUGCUAAGGCUUUGAAAUGGAAGCAAGUUUUUGUACAAGGAAAUUUGGCACUUCUUCUUGGGUUUUUGUGAUUUGGUUCUUCUUUUUCCUUUUCGAUGUAAUACUAAUCUGAUACUGUUAUGGUAUUUGAUGAUUUAAG